rnacentral:rRNA from 1 species
CGCCGACAGGAUGGGGACAACAUUCCGAAAGGAAUGCUAACACCGAAUGGAGUCCGAGGAUGGCAUCAUCCUUGGAUAAAAGAUGGCCUCUUAACAAUGCUAUCGCCUGUCGAUGGGCCUGCGUCUGAUUAGCCAGUUGGCGGGGUAACGGGCCCACCAAAGCGACGAUCAGUAGCCGGUCUGAGAGGAUGAACGGCCACAUUGGGACUGAGACACGGCCCAG